rnacentral:rRNA from 1 species
CAAUAGCGUAUAUUUAAGUUGUUGCAGUUAAAAAGCUCGUAGUUGGAUUUCGGAUGGGAUUUGCCGGUCCGUCGUUACGAUGUGCACUGGCCAGUCCUAUCUUGUUGUCGGGGACUAGCUCCUUGGAUUCACUUCCUGGGACUAGGAGCUGACGAGGUUACUUUGAGUAAAUUAGAGUGUUCAAAGCAAGCCUACGCUCUGAAUACAUUAGCAUGGAAUAACACGAUAGGACUCUGGCUUAUCUUGUUGGUCUGUGAGACCAGAGUAAUGAUUAAGAGGGACAGUCGGGGACAUUCGUAUUUCAUUGUCAGAGGUGAAAUUCUUGGAUUUAUGAAAGACGAACUACUGCGAAAGCAUUUGUCAAGGAUGUUUNCAUUAA